UCAGUCUAUCUUAACCUUGUUUGAGUUCCUUCAGGUAAGGCUCACAGUUGACAAUCAUGCAGCGAUAAUUCUACCUCACAGUCAUACUUAGGAAUGAUGGAGGAAGGGAGGGUGCAUUCCUAUUCAAAAGGAAAUAACAAAAUUGGAAAAGUCAGAAGGUAUUGUUGACUGGGGAAAAACACAGAACUAUUAAAUAGUACAAAUCACUCUUUAAUCAAGGGAAAGGGAUUCAGUGCAAUUGUAGACCUCAACAUAGAGCUGCAUGCCACAUGACUGCACAGAGUCCGAGGAUUGAUCUCUGGACACUCUGGACACUGACCCCUGGGAGUGCCACCACACUAGAUGACCACUCCAAGGAACAAAGGAUUUUGUUCCUUGUACAUACCAUUUGGGGGAUCCAGGGGCAGGGGAAGAUGAUUGGCAUUACUAUGGCUACAAAGAAAAUGGGUGUGUUCAAACUAUACUGACAGAAUACAAUCAAACUUGGGGAAGGAAUCAUAGCUAGAGGCUAAGGUAUAAGAGUAGGGGCUAUUUACAAUGGAUAUGAAAGGAUGGUUCUUGCCCAGGUGUAGAUCUUCUUGGGAAAGGGUCUGAUACAAGAGGGGAGACUACAUAAAACAAAGAGGGCCCUUCCCAUAGGCUUAGUCCCACCCAACUAGGAUUGUCAUUCACCUGAAACUGCUAGCCUGGGAUUCCCUUCGGGGUGAAUUCCCAUGAGAACAGGGAACAGGGAACAAAUACAAACUUUAGGGUCUCCAACCUACAAGCUAGUCCUGAAACCUGGGGUCCACCAGAUCCCACUAGGCCACAAGUUUAGAUUCCAUGUUGACAGGAUCCUACAGUCCCUCCAACUUUUCCCAGAUAAGGCUUUCUACCUGUAAAAGGUAACAGACUGCAGUCAUGUAUGGUGCACAGCUCUGUGUAGAGACCUACUAUUACAUUGAACCCCUUUUGCCCUUGAUUAAAGAAUGAUUUUGAUUAUUUAAUAGUUCUGUGUUUUUUCCCAGUCAACAGGACUAAAUACAAUUAAACAUAUAAUCAUUGAGUUGCAAUAAUAAAAUGAUAAAAGUUUACCAAGGUGCACACAUAUAAAAGAGAUUUCACUUAGUUCUCUUCUUAAUUAUAAACUCAUCCUGGCAUAAAAAUCAAUCAUUAGAAAAUAAUUUCCACAUUAUAAACAAACAUACAUUUUCUCAGUAAUCCAAUUUCAACAAACUUUUUUUCAUAGGGUUAGUGAUCUUGCUUACAGAGAUGGAAAACGAACAGAUAAAGGAAUUCUGCAGUUUUUUUCUUUUAGCUUUACUGCACAGUAAUUGUUCAUUUUUCUUUUCUCUUUUUCCAGUAUUUUUCCGGUUUAACAAAUCACACCCCCAUCAAUAAUGGACCUAGCUGGGAGAAUUUCCCCCAUACUAUGAUAAUUCAUCUAUCUGGGAAUUCUUAGAAGGGCUUGGACUUCACCUCUCUUUUACCUUUAAAAAGUUUCUUUUUUUUUAUAAUGGAGAAACAAAUCAGUUCUUAAAACUUAAUUAAACAAAUUACAAAAUAGGUAGGAGUUUGCAAAUUAACCUUAGCUCAAAGCUCAUUUAGCUCUUAUAAAACAUUCAGAUUUUUUAUCUUCAAACUCACCUGUUCAAAGCAGAUUACAAUUUUUUUUCCUGCCUUAACUCCUUACUGACAUGGGCACUGUACCGCCAGAAACCCAGGCAAACUAUUAUCAGGGAAACUCCCUUGUUUUGCCUCCUCCUGACUCUGAGUCUAAAAACACCCAAUGACCCUUCUAGGGUCCUGAGAUGACUAUCUUCCUUUGAUCAUCCUCUAGAUGGACAGAAAGAUGCACCUGCAAGCCACACCUUGAUCCUAUCAGAUAUCUGUUUGUUCCCUAAAACUAAGGAAUCUUUAUGUCCCCAGGCAGACCCCAAUAUGAUCUCCCCACCUCAUGCCUGAGUGACUAACUCUGUUGUAAAAAGUAUAAAAUCCCCAGAACUGAUGUCAUCUGGGGGAACAGCUUUUCCUUUCAUGCUGUCCUCCCAAGGAACUGCUCCCCAUCUUGCUGUUCCACCUUGCUAUCCUCCUGGCCACUCUCAACAUUACUUUCUAAAUUAAUAAAUCUCUUUUUUGUUUUUAAGUUAAGUUUUGGAGUCUUGCAUGAUUGCAAAAGGUAUCUUUCCCGAACCCCAAGGUUAUCCUUCCUGCCAAUAACAUUUUGACGCCCAAAGUGUUUGGCUCUUCUGAAAGCUACUCCUGUACCCGGGAUCAUCCACGAGGACAUGGCUUCUCAGGUUUUUCACAAUAGAGACGUAGCUGAGACAGAAGGACAGAGACGGGAGAAACUCCUCAUGGCAGCUCUCACCUCUCUGACCUAUGAGCAGAGGCCAAGGGGCUCUUGCUACACCUGCAGACGGGAUGGGCACUGGUCGCAGGACUGUCCUUCGAAGGGAAGAUUGCCCACGACUCCGUGUCCAGCCUUUGGCCAACAGGGACACUGGAAACAGCAGUGCCCCACCAACCGGAGACCCCAGCGACCCCAGAGGCACAUUCCUGACCUCCAGUCUCCUGAGUACUCUGAAUAGGGCUGCCCUAGGGUUUGGGAGCUCCCAGUUUCCAUCACCAUGCCCAAACCCAGGGUUAUUCUCCAGGUUGAAGUUGCUUCUAGGGUAAAAGCAUUCAUGGGAGUCACGGAGAUGCCACUACAACCUCUACAACCAUCCCAGCCUGACACUCUGGAAACGGCCUAUGGUCAAUACCUCUCUCUCUCCUAAGGGGUAGGCAGGGACAUCUCUACGCUCAUUCUCAGCUCUGAAGAAGUUACAGAAGACAGACUGCCGUCCCUUUUCCCCUUACAUAUUAGGAGAGGGGGAGAUGACAUGGGCACUGUACCCCAGAAACCUGGGUGAACUAUUAUCAGGGAAACUCCCUUGUUUUGCCUCCUCCUGACUCUGAGCCUAAAAACACCCAAUGACCCUUCUAGGGUCCUGAGAUGACUAUCUUCCUUUGAUCAUCCUCUAGAUGGACAGAAAGAUGCACCUGCAAGCCACACCUUGAUCCUAUCAGAUAUCUGUUUGUUCCCUAAAACUAAGGAAUCUUUAUGUCCCCAGGCAGACCCCAGUAUGAUCAUCCCACCUCAUGCCUGAGUGACUAACUCUGUUGUAAAAAGUAUAAAAUCCCCAGAACUGAUGUCAUCUGGGGGAACAGCUUUUCCUUUCAUGCUGUCCUCCCAAGGAACUGCUCCCCAUCUUGCUGUUCCACCUUGCUAUCCUCCUGGCCACUCUCAACAUUACUUUCUAAAUUAAUAAAUCUCUUUUUUGUUUUUAAGCUACGUUUUGGAGUCUUGCAUGAUUGUAAAAGGUAUCCUUCCCGAACCCCAAGGUUAUCCUUCCUGCCCAUAACACUCACCUUCCUAUUACUUAGAACUUACCCAUUACAUAUCCCCCAGUGGACUUUAAUUAAAAGUUCCUUAACUUUCAAAUAGCCUUUAAAUAAAGUCUCUCAUAACAAACUAUUUCUUUCAUAUUCAAAUGCAUCACUUCUCUCACCUUUUUCUCUAUGCUUUUCACAAUCAUAAUUCAAAUAUACUUCACUUAGUAUUAUUUUUACUUUUAAAUUAUGCCAAAUUAAACACUUCCAAGAUUUCUUGGACAGAGAUCUCUAAGAAUUUAAGCAAUUUCAGAGUGUGAAGAUGGGAUUGACUCUCCCCUUGCCUACUUUUAAAUUUAAUCAACCAAAAGGAUAGACACCCCUACUCUACACUAAGUAGGGGAGGGCCACAAGCCUCUUACUAAAGUGGGUGACAACUCUAGAAUCAACUAAUCACCCCCUGAGAAGUGCUAAACAAAUUUAAAGACUGCAAUUGGUGCCCGUAAAUGGGAGGAAAGGACAGGAAGGGAUGUAAAAAAAGGACUAUAAAAGAUGAUUAACUUCCUGUACAAGAGGUCUUUGUCCUGAAUUUUGGGCAUAGAGGAGCUUGGACCUGUACUCUUGCUCUUGGACUGCUUCUGUUAAGACUGCUCCUGUAUCUUUUCCCUUUAGAUCUUCUCCUGGUGAGUGAAAAGCUGACCUUUCUUUCCUAGUUUCUGGAGAGAUUAGUUCCAGAGGGGCCUCCCCUUCUUGGAGGUAGCCUUGUGGGUUGAACCCUUCCUUAAUUCAACACCAAGUCCUCCAACUGAGGGGUUAACUGACUGAGCAACAUUUAAGCUAGACUUUUUAUUCUACCUCUCUUUCAUUUCUCUACUUUCACUCUCUACCUUUUUUGUAAAUAAAAGCUGCUAAAAGUCAUUUUGACUUGGGCUGUAUUUUAAAAUCAGCAACUACAGCAUUAUCUUAGAAUUCUCAUUUAUUUUAGUCAAAACCUUAAUUAAAUUCCUUACAACAGUAAAACCUGUGUUAUCCGUUAUAUUUCCAAAAUAGACAGAUUUAAACAAUUUACAUAAUUCUUUCAGCAUUUAAAGAUAUAAAGUAUAUAAUCAAUUGCUGGGAGCCAUCAGGCCACGACGCCUUGACAGAGUUAUGUGUGGUAGCUAAGAAGGCCACAGAGUGGCCCUUGGCAAGAUGUGAUUGUCCACUCAGUCCCCCUUACAUGGCCUCUCUCAUUAAUAUCCCUUACCUAUGAAAUUGACAUGAUUACUAUUCUCCCUAGUCUCAAGAGGAAUAAUGCAAGAGCAAAAUAUCUGUACCCUAAUUCUCUAAAACAUCACAAAAAGAUCAGACCCUCAAACCCUAUCCCAAAAGACUAUCAUGGGUUAACUUUUACUUAGGUACAUAAUCCCCAGUAAAACCACAGCUACAGGCCAAGCCCAAAACUUUCCCACUCAGAGAAACCUAUUCUCAUGAAGCCAGCACACAAAUCAAUCAUAGAGGCCCAUACAAUAAGUACAAGUACAUCAAACUUCAACAUGCCUCAGUGACUCGAUUACACAAAUCAGUAACUCAGAAACUUCUUAGUAAACCACCAGUCUAAUAUUAAAUUUGAAUUGUGUUCCCAGUACCCCUCAACGUCAAUGAUAUGAUUGUUGAAUUGUCUUUUAAGAAUGGUUGAUUAAUUAUUCCAUUUUUAUUAAAAGCAAUAAGUAAUUUUCCUUGAUUGUUUGUAAGCUCAAAAGUUCUCACAGGGUAAUGAGAAAAUCAAGCCACCUGUGACAAAAUCAUUUAUCUUGUGUGCAACCUUUUAUUCUGUCUGUAAUCACACUACAAGAAUAUAGAAUGUUAAUGAAGUGAUUUGUUAAAAGUUAAUGUAUCACUUUUCCAAUUAUCGCUCUUUGAACAUGUGUGUUAGUAAUGUAUCUGUGUGCCAAGAAAAUGGGUAUAAAAAUAAACACCAGGCCUGGGAAUGGCAGAGAAACUCUCAAAUGCAAAGAAGUCCCAUGGCUGUAAUGAUUAA